AUAGAUACCCUGGUAGUCCACGCCCUAAACGAUGCGAACUGGAUGUUGGGUACAUUACGGUACUCAGUGUCGAAGCUAACGCGUUAAGUUCGCCGCCUGGGGAGUACGGUCGCAAGACUGAAACUCAAAGGAAUUGACGGGGGCCCGCACAAGCGGUGGAGUAUGUGGUUUAAUUCGAUGCAACGCGAAGAACCUUACCUGGCCUUGACAUCUGUCGAAUCCUGCAGAGAUGCGGGAGUGCCGCAAGGAACGACAAGACAGGUGCUGCAUGGCUGUCGUCAGCUCGUGUCGUGAGAUGUUGGGUUAAGUCCCGCAACGAGCGCAACCCUUGUCCCUAGUUGCCAGCACGUAAUGGUGGGAACUCUAGGGAGACUGCCGGUGACAAACCGGAGGAAGGUGGGGAUGACGUCAAGUCCUCAUGGCCCUUACGGCCAGGGCUACACACGUACUACAAUGGUCGGUACAGAGGUUGCGAAGCCGCGAGGUGGAGCCAAUCCCAGAAAACCGAUCCCAGUCCGGAUCGGAGU
rnacentral:rRNA from 1 species